GCUGGGAUAGCCUAGUUGGUAGAGUUUGAGCCUCUUAAUCUCAGGGCUGUGGGUUCAAGCCCCAUGUUUGGCA